rnacentral:rRNA from 1 species
AGCGAACGCUGGCGGCAGGCCUAACACAUGCAAGUCGAACGAACUCUUCGGAGUUAGUGGCGGACGGGUGAGUAACACGUGGGAACGUGCCUUUUGGUUCGGAAUAACUCAGGGAAACUUGUGCUAAUACCGAAUGUGCCCUUCGGGGGAAAGAUUUAUCGCCAUUAGAGCGGCCCGCGCCUGAUUAGCUAGUUGGUGAGGUAACGGCUCACCAAGGCGACGAUCAGUAGCUGGUCUGAGAGGAUGACCAGCCACACUGGGACUGAGACACGGCCCAGACUCCUACGGGAGGCAGCAGUGGGGAAUCUUGCGCAAUGGGCGAAAGCCUGACGCAGCCAUGCCGCGUGAAUGAUGAAGGUCUUAGGAUUGUAAAAUUCUUUCACCGGGGACGACAAUGACGGUACCCGGAGAAGAAGCCCCGGCUAACUUCGUG